rnacentral:rRNA from 1 species
GUCCACGCCCUAAACGAUGAUGACUAGUUGUUGGGGGAGUUAAAUCCCUUAGUAACGCAGCUAACGCGAGAAGUCAUCCGCCUGGGGAGUACGGUCGCAAGAUUAAAACUCAAAGGAAUUGACGGGGGCCCGCACAAGCGGUGGAUGAUGUGGUUUAAUUCGAUGCAACGCGAAAAACCUUACCUACCCUUGACAUGUACGGAAGCCUGCAGAAAUGCAGGGGUGCCCGAAAGGGAGCCGUAACACAGGUGCUGCAUGGCUGUCGU